CGUGGUGAUCUGCCCUGCACUCUGGGAUAAGCCUGGGAAACUGGGUCUAAUACCGGAUAGGACCAUGCUUUAGUGUGUGUGGUGGAAAGUUUUUUCGGUGUAGGAUGAGCCCGCGGCCUAUCAGCUUGUUGGUGGGGUAAUGGCCUACCAAGGCGGCGACGGGUAGCCGGACUGAGAGGUUGGUCGGCCACAUUGGGACUGAGAUACGGCCCAG
rnacentral:rRNA from 1 species